rnacentral:lncRNA from 1 species
GGGAGGAGAGGCCUGUAGACGGAGGCUGAGAGUUGGUCACAAUGGAGGCCGGGCAGUGGAGACCCGGGCAAUGCCUGCUCUGCUGUUUUGCUAUAUAUAUAUAUAUUUUUUAUAUAUAUAUAGAGAGAGAAUUUUUUAAUAUUUAUUUUUCAGUUUUCGGUGGACACAACAUCUUUAUUUUAUCUUAUGUGGUGCUAAGGAUCGAACCCAGUGCCCCGCGCAUGCCAGGUGAGCGUGUUACCGCUUGAGCCACAUCCCCAACCCCUUGCUAUAUUUUUAACAUUCCCUCACUUAAAAGGGGGCUGGGGACACGGGUGAGACCAUUUAACCUUCGAGGCCUUUCUGUCUCUUCUCUUCCCAUUGCUCGGUCCUGAGAGAGUCUCCAAGGCAGUGUACUCGAGAUCCAGGCUGGCCAAGCCUGCCUGCUUGUGCUCACAGAGACGGACAUGUCUGCUUUGUGUGUCAGCCAUGGAAACAGGACAGACUGCACCUGAAAGGGUGCUGGGAACAGUUCCAAGAGGGUGGGCUGUGAGGGAGGCCGGGAGGCUCCUGCCGUGCGGACAGUCACUGAGUUCCUCUCGCUGAAAGGAACAGGUCCACCAUGGGUGCUGUGGUGACGGAGCCAGAACAUGAUUUGGACUGUCCAAGGGGACCUCUAGGCCAGGUCUACAAGGUACUCAAGAGUGACUUAAUUAUGACCCUACGGCUCAGCAUCUACUCUGCCAGGUGCUUCACACGUGUCACCUACCCGCAUGUCCUCUCCAUCAGAGCGACCAGCCCUGCCAUGCCGGGUGUGAGCCCCAAGUGUGGUCAGGACUCCUCUGCAGCGAGGCUUCCCCGGACAGCGCUGCUUCGCCCGUGCUUUCUGCUGUCUGGGGUGCCAUGAGUCGCCCAGGCACCCGUCAGGAGCUGACGGAACAGAACACGCUGCCUGUGAAAGGUCGUCCAGACUCUCCCUGAACUAAGUUAGGAAUCGGCCUUUUGGUAUCGAGUGAUGUUUUCACACUUCACACCACGGGCGGCAUGAAAUGAUGAUCUUUCAGUGUUUAUGCACAAACUCACCAUUGCAUUCGGAGUGUCAGAGAGUGGGCCUGAUGCUAAAUCGAGAACCUUUUAAGGUCAUCCCCAUCGAGAGAAGGACAGCUUCAGCCACCAGGAUUCUCAGAAGAUCCAGAACCCCUGCCCACCAUCCAGGAGGCAUCGUCCGUCCAGCCAUUUGACCAGGGAGAGGCACGCUGACUGGUGGCUGUGGGCUGGCAGCAAGGGCGGGCCAGCUCCCCGCGCCUGUCCACUCCCAGUGCAGCGGCCUGCUGGGCUGUUCUGCCUUGUGGAGCAUGGUCAAGGCCACAUGGUGCAUGAGGAAGACAGCCAGAAGGGAGGGGCUGCACAGGCCGUCCUUGUGCCCAGGGACUGACUGGGCUUCAGGCGCUAGAACGGGCGGGCCCUGCCCCAGUCUCCACCAGCCCUCCCUGUGUCCCCAAAUAGAGGAAAGGAUCUCAGAAACUCGCUUUCCAGUUGAAUUUUAAGUUGGGAGCGGCUGUUCCCUAUCAUUAGUACCU